rnacentral:tRNA from 1 species
CUCCGUCUGGCGAAAUCGGUAGACGCGCGAGGUCGAGAGCCUCGUGCCGCAAGGCGUGCAGGUUCGAGGCCUGCGACGGAGACCA